AUUGCCAUUUUGAUAUUCACUCUUGGGUCCAUAAUUCUGAGCAAGUCAUGGCCUGGUUUCAGUUCAAUUUCCCGGUGUUGUCACUGCAUUUCAAUUUCAAGUGUCAACUGAAUAUCCCAGUUGCCACUUGAGGGGAGUGUUGGAAUAUCACUUGCGAGAACAAGUCUCACUUCAAUAGCGCACAAGAAAAUUAAAGGCCAUACAAGUGUUGGCAAACUAAAUCAAAAUGGCCUAGCCUGCCAAUUUGAUAUUUACACUCCUCAGUCCAUAAUUCUCAACAGUAUACAUAGGAUUUAAAAAAAUUCAAAUAGUAUGAGAAUUUGUCCAGUUGCUUCUACAUGAGAGGGGUGGUUCCAUAAUUCAAAUUUUCUUUUCAGAGGAGAAUUUUAUUUGGAUCACUUUGCUUUCAUUAAUCCUGCGACACCUUUGGUACUUUACUUAAUAAUAGUUAAUAUUCACUUAUCAAGAGAUGAAAAUGAAAAGCCUCCCGUUAGUCUGAAUCCAAUUGCUUUACUUACUGCAUAUGACAUGACAAGAGAGUUACCUUCUCCAGCUGCUAUAAGGGAAA
rnacentral:misc_RNA from 1 species